CGCUACAGCCACACUACCCUGAAUGUGUCCAAUCUGUUCUGAUACUGGAAGCUAAGCAGAGUUGGGCCUGGUUAGCACUUGUAUGGGAGAACAGUUAUAAAACUGUUUGUUAUAAUGC
ensembl:rRNA 5S_rRNA 5S ribosomal RNA